rnacentral:RNase_P_RNA from 1 species
GGAGUCGGCCGGACAGUCGCCGCUGAAGCAUGUCUUCGGGGGAGGAAAGUCCGGGCUCCACAGGGCAGAGUGCCAGGUAACGCCUGGGCGGCGCGAGCCGACGGAAAGUGCAGCAGAGAGUAGACCGCCAAAGCAGUCUGACUGCCGGUAAGGGUGAAAGGGUGCGGUAAGAGCGCACCGCGCGACUGGCAACAGCUCGUGGCAUGGUAAACCCCACUCGGAGCAAGACCAAAUAGGAACCCUGAGGUGUGGCCCGCACUGGGUUCGGGUAGGUUGCUUGAGGGACGUGGUGACGCGUCUCCUAGAGGAAUGACUGUCCUCGACAGAACCCGGCUUACAGGCCGACUCCCUCC